AACGAACGCUGGCGGCGUGUUUAAGACAUGCAAGUCGCACGGUGUCAUUUUGGUAGCAAUACUUGGAUGGCACAGUGGCGCACGGGUGAGUAACACGUGAAUGACAUGCCCUUCAGAGGGGGAUAGCCCAGGGAAACUUGGAUUAAUACCCCAUGGUCUCGCAAGAGUAAAGGUGGCCGCAAGGCUGUCGCUGGAGGAUUGGUUCGCGUUCUAUCAGCUUGUUGGCGGGGUAACGGCCCACCAAGGCUACGACGGAUACCUGGUCUGAGAGGACGAUCAGGCACACUGGAACUGAGACACGGUCCAGACACCUACGGGUGGCAGCAGUCGAGAAUAAUUCACAAUGGGGGCAACCCUGAUGGUGCAACGCCGCAUGGAGGAUGAAGGUCUUCGGAUUGUAAACUCCUGUCAUCCGGGAGCAAGACCUGACGGUGAAUAGCCGGCAGGGUUGAUAGUACCGGAAGAGGAAGGGACGGCUAACUUCGUGCCAGCCGCCGCGGUAAUAC
rnacentral:rRNA from 1 species